UACAGAGGUCCCGAGCGUUGUUCGGAUUCAUUGGGCGUAAAGGGCGCGUAGGUGGUCUUGUGUGUCUACCGUGAAAGCGUACGGCUCAACCGUAUUUAGUCGGUAGAAACUGCAGGACUUGAGGCUGGGAGGGGCUGGUGGAAUUCCCUGUGUAGCGGUGGAAUGCGUAGAGAUGGGGGAGAACACUCGUGGCGAAGGCGGCCAGCUAGACCAGUUCUGACACUGAGGCGCGAUAGCGUGGGGAGCAAACAGG
rnacentral:rRNA from 1 species